rnacentral:rRNA from 1 species
UGCGAGUUCAGACUCGCGGCACCGAGCUCAGUAACACGUGGCCAAACUACCCUACAGAGAUGGAUACCCUCGGGAAACUGAGGUUAACCCGUCAUACCGAUCUCAGGCUUGAAUCGCAGAGAUCACAAAACGCCCCGGCGCUGUAGGAUGUGGCUGCGGUUGAUUAGGUAGACGGUGGGGUAACGGCCCACCGUGCCCAUAAUCAGUACAGGUUGUGAGAGCAAGAACCUGGAGACGGAAUCUGAGACAAGAUUCCGGGCCCUACGGGGCGCAGCAGGCGCGAAACCUUUACACUGCACGCACGUGCGAUAAGGGGACUCCGAGUGCGAAGGGCAUAUCGUCCUCGCUUUCGUGUACCGUAUGGUGGUACACCAACAAGGGCUGGGCAAGACCGGUGCCAGCCGCCGCGGUAAUACCGGCAGCCCGAGUGAUGGCCGAUCUUAUUGGGCCUAAAGCGUCCGUAGCUGGCUGCGCAAGUCCGUCGGGAAAUCCACUCGCCCAACGAGUGGGCGUCCGACGGAAACUGCACAGCUUGGGACCGGAAGGCUCGAAGGGUACGUUCGGGGUAGGAGUGAAAUCCUAUAAUCCCGCACGGACCACCGAUGGCGAAAGCACUUCGAGAAAACGGAUCCGACAGUGAGGGACGAAAGCCAGGGUCUCCAAACCGGAUUAGAUACCCGGGUAGUCCUGGCCGUAAACAAUGUUCGCUAGGUAUG